UAUUCAUAGAGGGGCAAUUCCUGAAAUAAUCUUUGAAUCUUUCCCAUGCUUCUGGAUAGCUCUCGAGGUCCUUUUGCUUGAAAGUAUGGACUUCAUUUCGGGUAUG
rnacentral:snoRNA from 1 species